rnacentral:rRNA from 1 species
CCUACGGGAGGCAGCAGUGAGGAAUAUUGGUCAAUGGCCGGAAGGCUGAACCAGCCAAGCCGCGUGAAGGACGAAGGUGCCAAGCAUUGUAAACUUCUUUUGUCAAGGGACAAAAUCAGGCUCGAGAGCCUGACCGUGGGUACUUGAUGAAAAAGCAUCGGCUAACUCCGUGCCAGCAGCCGCGGUAAUACGGAGGAUGCGAGCGUUAUCCGGAUUUAUUGGGUUUAAAGGGUGCGUAGGCGGGCUGUUAAGUCAGCGGUAAAAGCUCGGGGCUCAACCUCAGAUAGCCGUUGAAACUGGCUGUCUUGAGAGGUGGAGAGGUAUGCGGAAUGCGCAGUGUAGCGGUGAAAUGCUUAGAUAUUGCGCAGAACUCCGAUUGCGAAGGCAGCAUACCGGCGGCGAUCUGACGCUGAGGCACGAAAGUGUGGGUAUCGAACAGGAUUAGAUACCCCUGUAGUC